CAUGCACGGUGGUGUGUUCCUGCGUCGCGAGACUGUCAGCCUUAAUCCCUCAAACCGCAGCCAGCCAGGGGAAAACCGGCUGCGACCCGAAAGUGAUGACUGAAUAACAGGAAAACACAAUGGGACAGGCUGCAGUGCAGUGUCGCAGUCCCAGGGUUGCAGUGCAGUGUGGCAGUCCCAGGGUUGCCAGAUCUCACACAUCUGGUGUGCUACUCACACAAGAAAUCUUAUGAUUUGAUGACCAACUUCCAAGUGAUGAAAAUAUACUGCAGUCUUGUGGACUCUGGUGUGUUUCUGUGAUAUCUUAACCAGUAUUCCCAUGGUAUGUAUACAAAAAUAUUUUUAAUGUUAGUGAUGACAGGUGUUCUGGUGGUGGUUUAAGUGUCUACUCAACGUGCCUCACGCUGGGAAAACUAUUGAGGCAUUCACUCAUUAGGAAAUGUUUAAAAGUAGUAACUCUCUUCACAUACAUAGCUUCUAAUUUGA